rnacentral:lncRNA from 1 species
AGAAAAUGUAAAUGCUUUUGAAAGAAACUGAGCUUCAAAUGAAUCAUUUUCUAAUUAAUAUUUCUAUACAUUUUCUCUAAGAUUAGGAGAAAGCAUAACUUGUUCUUAAAGGAUUAGAAAGAGUGAUUACUAUAAAUUUUGAAUAAUUCUAGAUCACUCUACAUUCUUGAUGUCAUAAUGUUUCAAUUUUAUUCACAUUUGUCAUUAAAAUCUGAAAUUCAACAAAAGAAAAGAAUGAUUAAAGAAGUAUGCAUCUUUUGAGGGGGAGCUUUAGAUAUUCAGUAUCUUAUCCUAAAGUUUCUUCAAUUUGAUGCAUACCUUGAAUUUUAUGGAUUGAUUUUGAUGAACCUCCUUAUAUUGCAAGACAUGCUUUAAUUACCUUGAGAUGAGUUCUAUAAAGGUUGUCUUAUCUCAAACCUUGAGUCUUAUGAAAAUAAGCUGAAACUUAUAGAAAAUACAUUUUUGAGAUUGACCAUUUUAUUGAACAUUAUCUUCAAAUUCUAAACUCUUAAAUGGAAUGAUCAAUUGAGGGGGAGAAAGAAAAUUUCAGAAGGAGAGGUCUUAU